rnacentral:lncRNA from 1 species
ACUGUAUGGCAAUGCAUUAUAGUUUUUUUAUCCGAAAUCAUAAAAAAUGGAACCAGGACGUAUAAUUCAGAGUACUCAGUGGCAAUAGGUAAAUAAUAGGUCGGGGUUUAACCAAGGCUACCACAUUUCCAAAUCAUCUGGCUAGAAACCGUCUCACAAUUGCUCUAGUGCCCAGAAUUUCUGCUUUUUGUAAUAGGACAAGGACUGAUCUUCCCAAACGCCUUAAAAUAUCAGAUUCAAAACUCGUUUCAGCUUAGCGCUUAGACCCUCAUAUUUAUCUAUCUUCUACUUGUACGCCCUGCCUAUGUCAUCUACAGGAAUUGACACGUCUAUAAUGGCUUUGUUUUACCCAGUUGGUGGAUAAUUUUGGCUACUUCAUUGUGUCGGUAUUCUGUAAGAGCCAAAUGAGUGUAGCUUGAAGUGUCAAGCUGUAGUGAUAUGCUGGAUAUUUAUAAACAAGUAGAAACCCCUGUUUGCACCCCAUGCGGCAGGAUGUAUCAGUAAACAAAUAUCCCUGGGUUGGAUAAAGAAAUGAUUUUCUACUACUUCUGGAUUUUGCAAACUUACAAUAAUUGUAAUAAAAAGCUACACAAUAAUACCGCUACAUACUACAAAAUAUUAUUAAUGGAACUUCCUAUAUUAUAGGAAAUUCCAUUAAGGGAAAUUCAGAUUGUAGCGUUUUGCAGCGUGUAGCGGUAUUUUGAGUACGCCGUGAUGGCAACAUUGCCCCAUCCAUACUAUAGAGAGUUCUCGCUAGAUAACUCAAGUAAACCAACGUUAGAUGGGAUAACCCCAGAAUUUAAGAUAUCAUUUUAUUAAAAGCAAAAUGUAAACACCAAACAAAGACCAAAAAAAAUAUUUCAUAAGUAGUAAAUUGCAGAUUCAAAUAUCCCAAAAAAUUCAGACAUGCUAUAUAAUUAAUAACAUUUUAACUUAAACCUUUUAACAACAAAAUGUCACCCAUACCAUGAGUAAGAACAGUGUCCGCUAAUAAUAAUAUUUAUUAAAAAUUUAUGAAUAAUUAAUUACAAUAAUAUCCUUAAAGAUGACAAACAAAUUAUAUUAUUUGUUAAUAAUGCUGACUAUACACACAUUAGUGUAAUUUGUGUAAUAUUAAU